AGUGAACGCUGGCGGUAGGCCUAACACAUGCAAGUCGAACGGCAGCACAGUAAGAGCUUGCUCUUACGGGUGGCGAGUGGCGGACGGGUGAGGAAUACAUCGGCAUCUACUUUUUCGAGGGGGAUAACGUAGGGAAACUUACGCUAAUACCGCAUACGACCUACGGGUGAAAGCAGGGGACCUUCGGACCUUGCGCGAUUGAAUGAGCCGAUGUCGGAUUAGCUAGUUGGCGGGGUAAAGGCCCACCAAGGCGACGAUCCGUAGCUGGUCUGAGAGGAUGAUCAGCCACACUGGAACUGAGACACGGUCCAGACUCCUACGGGAGGCAGCAGUGGGGAAUAUUGGACAAUGGGCGCAAGCCUGAUCCAGCCAUGCCGCGUGGGUGAAGAAGGCCUUCGGGUUGUAAAGCCCUUUUGUUGGGAAAGAAAAGCAGCAGGUUAAUACCCCGCUGUUCUGACGGUACCCAAAGAAUAAGCACCGGCUAACUUCGUG
rnacentral:rRNA from 1 species